GAACAAGUUUGGUUUUGAGAUGUAUCAUGGCUGCUUGUGAAGUAUUAUUUUGCGUGUUUUAUUUAAUUAAGUGAUCUGCAGCCUUAUUACAUAAACAUAACUCACAAAAUCAUAAACAUUUAACUCAACUCUUCUCUCAUACAGCACCCUGAAUGAUAGAAAGAAACAACCAAAGUUCUCGUGUUUGAACAAGUUUUGUUUUGAGAUGUAUCAUGGCUGCUUGUGAAGUAUUAUUCUGCGUGUUUUAUUUAAUUAAGUGAUCUGCAGCCUAAUUUAAGUUUAAAUUUUUGAAGCACGCAUUUUUAAAUAAUUAAAACGUAAAAUAAAAGUUUUCUAAAGCCAAAAUAUGGAAUUGAAGAGGGUGAUAUAGAAAUACUUCAUUGCACUGUCAGUUCGAAGCACGCAAUAGAAGCUACGCCAACAAUGGUCAACAUAAAUGGCGAAACCGGGUCGGCUUUAGUAUACUAUCCCAGGCUUUCGGUAAUAAAAUGGGUAUCGUUGGAAAGAGGAGGUUCUCCAGAUUAAGAAUAUAUAGCUGCAGCUGACUUAUAGUUAUCGAGAUAUUCGCACUUAAAGUUGAAAAAAAUGCUACUUUUAUCUUGAAUUUUCACAAUAUAUACUGAAUAUUUUAUUAAUAUUCUGCACUUAUUUUACACUUACACUUCACCACAUUGUUUCUGCAUAUUUAUUUUAUAAAAAUUAUGACGAAAAUGGCUGUAAAUAAAUAUUUAACAUUUUACACAAAUCUUCGUUUAAAAAAUAGCAAAAAGGGUUGCAGGUUGACAAGUAAUCAGUGUUGCCACAUCAAAUAUUUCGCAAAAAUCAAAAGAAUAAAAAUAAACAGAAAAAAGAAGGAUUAUACCCCAAACCAAACCAUAAUGGUGUUAUGACUAAUGCAAAGUCUUUCGGUAUUACCUUUUCUUUGAUAACACCCGGUGAUUGCCCGACCAGGGUUAUUUUUUUGAAGCGCGGCCGAAGGCCGCCAAUGCGGAAAGUAUUUCUACACGAAAGAAUAUUUCAAUUCCCCCUCUUUGAUAACUCACGGUGUUGGCUCGACCAGGGUUAUUUUUUUGAAGCGCGGCCGAAGGCCGCCAAUGCGGAAAGUAGUUAUACACUAAAGAAUAUUUCAAUUCCCCCUCUUUGAUAACUCCCGGUGUUGGCUCGACCAGGGUUAUUUUUUUGAAGCGCGGCCGAAGGCCGCCAAUGCAGAAAGUAGUUCUACACGAUAGAACUUUUCAUUUCCCCCACUUUGAUAACUCCCGGUGUUGGCUCGACCAGGGUUAUUUUUUUGAAGCGCGGCCGAAGGCCGCCAAUGCGGAAAGUAGUUCUACACGAAAGAGUAUUUCAAUUCCCCCUCUUUGAUAACUCCCGGUGUUGGCUCGACCAGGGUUAUUUUUUUGAAGCGCGGCCGAAGGCCGCCAAUGUGGAAAGUAUUUCUACACGAAAGAACUUUUCAUUUCCCUUACUUAUAGUGCAUAGAGUGAAUAUCAUAAACUUUCUUAUAUUAUCUUUAUAUAAUCUUUUUAUAGGGCAUUUGUUUUCUGCAUUUUGGGUAUUUAUUUAUUUUGGUUCUUCUCAUUCGUUUGCAAAAUAUCUGAUAUGGCAACACUUAUUACUUGUCAAGCUGCAACCCUUUUUGUUAUUGUUGAAAUUAAGAGAUUUGUGUAAAAUGUUAAAUACUUAUUUACAGCUAUUUUCGUGAUAAAUUUUAUCAAAUAAAUAUGCAGAAACAAUGUGGUGAAGUGUAAGUGUAAAAUAAGUGCAUCCCUACUAAUAUUAUAAAUGCGAAUGUAAGUUUGUUUGUUACGCUUUCACGCAAAAACUACUGAACCGAUCAUCAUGAAACUUUGUACAUAUACUCUUGAAGGUACUAGAAGCAACAUAGGGUACUUUAUAUAAAACAAUUGUUUGUCAAAAAAUCGUCAAAUUUAGCUACUUCAGUAAUGAAGUUUUACAGUCAUGAAGUUUCAACCCUGAAUACUGUAAUACCGUAUGUAAUGUAAUAAUUCAAUUGAAUAUAGUUUCAACUGUUUAUAAUUUUUCUAUAUUUAUUGUGACUUUCAUCUGUCGUUACAUCCAUAUUAAUAUUAUAAAUGCGAAUGUUACUCUGUCUGUCUGUUACUAACUGAAUUGAGUUAGUGAUUUUUAGUCGUUUUUGUUGGGACUUUUGCCCUUUCACGUCUAAACGGCUGAACGGAUUUUGAUGAAAUUUAGUAAGGUAAUAGAUGGUUACCUAAAAACGGAUAUAAGAUCAAAAUGAUCACGUCAUCGUACUUAGGGGGUAGGAAGUAGGCAGAAAACUGAAUUGAGUUAGUGAUUUUUUUAUGGUUUUUGCUGGGAAUUUUGCUCUAUCAUGCAUAAACGGCUGAACGGAUUUUGAUGAAAUUUAGUUAGGAGAUAGACAGACUUUGCCGGUUAUCACUAAAGGCACCCCUGCAGAUGAAAUAAGUGAGUGUUUAAAAGCGUCAACGUUAUGGGUGCACGUAAAAACGUUUAAUGAGAGUGCAACUACACAAUGAUGUACAAUCUGGACAAUAUGCUGCUGCUCUUCUUAAAAUUGGAGAAGAUCGUAUGUCAAAGGAUGGUAAUGGCAUGAUUGCAUUGGAUCGUGAAUUCUGCAAUGUUGUGCAUAAUCCAGAUGAUCUAAAUAACUUCGUCUAUAGCGAACUGCUAACUAAUAUGAGGAAUAGAUAAUGGUUAUAUGAAAGAGCAAUUUUACCACCGACGAAUGAUAUGGUGGGACAGAUAAACGAGCAAAUUAUGUCACGCGUGGGAGGUGAUAUUGUUAAGUUUAUCUCUGUAGACACUGUAAUGGAUACUGAACAAGUAACAACAUACCCUGUAGAAUUUCUUAACACUUUAGAACUGUCGGGAGUACCUUCACACAAACAGAGGCUGAAAGCAGACGUUCCUGUCCUUUUGAUGCGGAAUUUAGAUGCACCAAGUGUAAUGGCACACGGUUGCAAGUAACACACCUCGGUCGCAAUAUUGUAAAAGCAAUCAUUAUGCCUGGAAUGGCAAAAGGAGAGAAUGUUUUAAUCCCCCGUAUACCCAUAAUUCCGACAGAUUGCCAGUCCAGUUUAAGAGAUUACAGUUUCCGCUGAAAAUCGCAUUCGCUAUGACGAUAAAUAAAGCUCAGGGGCAAACAUUAAAAGUAGCCGGCAUUAAUUGCUCACGUGUUUCAAGUCCACAGAAUCUCCAUGUGUUGGCCAGAGAGGGAAAAACAAAGAAUAUAGUUUACAGAAAUGUACUACAAUAAUAAGGCCUCUUCUUUUUAGCUUCCUACAUUAUUAUACUACUUACAUUAAGUUAGUACUUCCUACGCAGACGAUGUUGCGGAUGUCACACUGUCUAACAUCGGGGGUUGGCAGGAAACAUUCGGAGCUAUCCAUUAUAUGCUUAGGUUGCUUUUGAAGAAAUUUUGAUGUGAAGUUGUGGACCGGAACACGAAAGUGGGACAUUGUUGCAGGGGGACUUACAGCCGGAGAAAAAGGAAAAACUUAUGCGGACGAAGUCGCGGGUAAAAGCUAGUAAUAUUAAUAAAAUAUUCAGUAUAUAUUGUGAAAAUUCAAGAUAAAAGCAGCACUUUUUUCAACUAUAAGUGCGAAUAUCUCGAAAACUAUAAGUCAGCUGCAGCUAUAUGUAUAUAUAUUCUUAAUCUGGAGAACCUCCUCUUUCCAACGAUACCCAUUUUAUUACCGAAAGCCUGGGAUAGUAUACUAAAGUUUCCCCGAUAUUUCAACCUCAUAUGGCGCGUUUAAGGUACGCAAACUUAUUGGUGUCACUUAUUGUAGCAGCGUAGAACUUUCGAAGCGAUGGAAUAUGUGCUGCAAGCAAAUCCAAAACUAUGGAUGCAAACGCUGCUACAUGGAACACAAAUCAUUUACACACCAGAUAUUAGGUUUAAUGUCACUUUUUUACGUGCAAUUAAACCUUUUGGUCAACACAAGCACGUGAAGAAUUGGAACGACGUGGUUUGGGUGCUUUUGUAACCGUUUAUCAUCGCGACGUGUGUUAACUGGGUUUUGCCAAUGAUCUAGAGGGUAAAGCAGUGGCAGUAUUUUUGAACUUACCGGCACCUCAGUUGGUCGUGCCAUUAGCAGCUAAAGCACAGAAAUUAAAGGGAGGACUUUUUUGAUUCAUUUUCACCAUGUAUUGAGGAAUCAUAACGUCGUUGUAUCGCUUUACAAGGACAUAAAUUCACCGAAAUUAGUUCAAUGGAAAUACUACAGCAAGAGCAUGGAUGUUAAGACUUGAACGGUGCCGUGCUAGAUUUAGAUUUCCUGAAACAUAAGAAACCCUCCUCCCAGAUGAAUCUAGUACUAGUGAAAUUAAUGAAAGAACAAAUCUUACAAAAACUCCUAAAGAAACCAAAAUAGUCCUCACAUAAUGUGCGCAGCUUACACUUCCAACCCGCACGGGGUAUUUGACAUUUGUCAGUCUUCCUCCAGCCUUUGCCCGAUAGCAAAAAUUGUUCAAAUACGUUUACAUAUGGAUAUAGUGUAGUACGAUAAUACAUUUAUAAAGUAAAUAUAAUAAUAAACACCUAAAUGGCAUGAUAUUUUAAAUAAAUAUGAAAUAUAAAUAUUUAAUAUAUUUAUAUAUAACUAGCAGACCCGGCCACACGUUUUUGUGGCUAAGGUAUACAUUCAUUUAGUAAAUCCUUCAAUGUAGAGAAAAAAUUCUUCCGCAUAAAGACGAAAACGUUAUAGCCGAUAAAUUUUAAAAUGAUUGAUAGAUAGAUAGAUCUGUGUUAAGCGUAAAUCAUCAGUAUUUGUAAAACUUUGAUUCUUUUAAUCGUAUAUUGGAGAAAGUAACAAAUGACCAAAUUUCACAGUUGGCUUUAUCUUGGCUUUGGUGACGAUAUGGAUUACCUUCUUCACACCCAGUCUUGUUCUUUUGCAAAUUUUGAUGUUGAUUUAUGUUACGCAGCAUGAUGACAAAUCACACUACUUUUAAUUGCAAGUGAGUGGGGAUAGUCCAGCAAUUUAAAAUACACCGUAUAGAUAAUUGAAUACGUCAUCCUGAUUUGUAGCUGUGUCAACUCUAAUUUAACGAAAUUCUAAAUUGUCGCAUUAAGAUCAAAGAGGUCCUCGUUUUUUUUUCCACUAAUAUAGGACAUUCAAACAGUCAUUUAUGUUUAUUAUAUUAUGGUUUCAUGUCAGGAAAAACACGAUGAAUAAGCUCCUCUUUCGAGGCCAUGAAGUGACAGAAACCCGUUAAAAAUGUUAUUAAUCCAUCAAGGUGUCAACUGCGGCUACCAUUUUCAACAAUUUCUAUAAUCGCAAUAUGAUAUUGUAUCGUAUGUUAUUUGUUAUUUGGCGAUUCUUUAUGUGUCGCCACAAAUUAGAUGAUUAGAAUGUGAUUAGUUCGUCAGCAACAGUUGAUCCAGGAAUAGUCUGGCGAAAAUUACCUGCCAACAGAAUCAUGGCUUCACCAAAAAUAUUUUCGUCGUCGCGUAAAUAUUUUAAAGUCCUGUGCAGUACCUCCAGCGUCUUGAAUAUCUGGAAAAUCUUCUUUAUAGCUCUUUUUUUGGGCGAUUUUGCAGACUGAUGUUUCGUUGAUUUGCAAUUUAGGAGUAAUUUCUAGGCCGAAUUGUCGUUUGUCUGUCAACUAACAGGUGCCAAGUUGAUCCUAUUCCUAUUAUAACAGGGCGUUGAAAAUGAGUGAAAUCGGUUCAGGAAUUACCUCAACCCUCAUGUACUAUAUAUGCUGAUUUCCGUUAUUCUAUUGGACUUUAUUUCAAAUUGUGUGUAAUAAAAUCACAUCAAUAAAUUGCGAGAGUAUAAAAGUUCGGUUGUCUUUCCCUACUUGUUAGAAAUUGUUUUGGGCUAUCGAUACAGCCUUUUACAAACAAUUGAACAAUGAUAAAAAAUAUUUUAACAAAGCAACAAUGAAAACUUUCAAAAUAUUAUUAUUUUUAUACUCUCGCAACAAAGUUGCUAAGAGAGUAUUAUAGUUUUGUUCACAUAACGGUUGUUUGUAACACCCAAAACUAAAAGUGAAGAUAUCGGUACAGAACUUUUCACAAAUACUAUGUUUAUAGUGUGGCAGCCCCAUUCUAAAAAUCGCCGAAAUCGGACCAUAGGUUUUCAAGGUCCCAUAUAUCGAACACAAGGACCUCGGUGCUUCUAACCUAAUAUUAUGGUUUCCAACUUUCAAUGGAUUUUAUACAAUAUAUAUGACGAAUAUGUGGGUCAAAUUGUGUAUUAUAUAAUAUAAAUAAAGUUAAAUAAAUAAAUUGCGACAGUAUAAAAUGUUCGGUUACACCCGAACUUAGCCCUUCCUUACUUGUUUGUUUUGUUUUUUUUAUAAUUUUGUUGUCAAUUCAGAUAAUAGAAGAUGAUCUUCUUGUUAUCUUCCUCACAAUUUUUCGAUAUAUACUUAAUUUCUAAUCCUUCCCUGGCCUUCCAUAAAUAUUUUAAAACUAAAAUUAGCCAGAUCGGUUUGGCCCUUCUCGACUUUUUUCGAGACUAACGACACAAAUGUUUGUAUGGGUGAUUUGGAAAUUUUGGAUUCAUGCAAUUUUUCUAAUUUUUCUCUCCGUAAGAACCAUCCCGGUACCUCUAAAAACAUUCUAAACAAAGAAGUUGCGAAAUCGUUUCAGCGGUUCUCGAGUUAUGCGCUUAGCAACACAUUUUGCGAUUCAUUUUUAUAUUAUAGAUAUAUUUUGUUAUUAAAUUCUCAUUUGGGAUUUUGGUAGAACUAACCGAAAAUAGAGGGUAUAGUUUCUGGGCUUUUGUGGGUCGCAGUACUGAAAGUGCACGUGCAGUGUUGGUUCGAAGUUUUGGGUCUUUCAUCCGUGAUAGUACCAAGAACAGUACUGGAAGUGCACAUGUGUUUUGGUUCGCAAUUUUGGGUCUUUCAUCCUUGAUUGUACCAAUACCAUUCCCCAAAUUGUGCAAGAGGUAUAUAUACAUUGCUAAAUGAUGAAUGUAAUGUGCAAGAAAGGGAUGAACGAUCACACGUACACAAGAGUUUCGUGUACUUUUGUCAAUUCGCCCUUAAAAAUGGCAUAGAAACUUUCAUUGAAACUGCUGGUAUCGCUCCCUGGCAUUUCACCGAAGAAUUCGCCGGUACCUGUCUUGCAGGGUAGUAAUCUGAAAUACCAGAUUUGUUUCAUAGACAUUAGAUAUUUCAAAAAGUUGUAAAAAAUUAACAAUCACAUUUAUGAAAUGGAGAAAUUAAGAUCUAUUAUUUCAAAAUAAAAACACGUAUUUUCUCCACAAAACACACAAGUCGAUAAAUUAUAUCUCCGAAUCGUGUAAUAUACCAAAGCGGUACAUUGCCUUGGCGUUUUUGAAAAAAAAAAAAAUCUGAAAAAUUUCUAAUUUUCCUUUAUUUUUAUUUAUUUUUGAAAAGUCAUUUUGACAAAAUAUUUUGAAAAGCUUUUGUAUAAGCUCUCUUCUAGGUUUCAAACCUAUUUUCAGCUGUGUUUAGUGAAAUACCACAAAAAAAUGCUGAUAUUGUUACCAGCAAAAUACUACAUUGCUCACAUAGUAAAGUGCUGGUAUUUGGUGACACACAUCUGGUAUUCGUACGAACAAUAUUAUUGUUACUACAUGUGUGUCUCGGGUAGUACUAUGUUAACCAGAGAUGUACA